rnacentral:rRNA from 1 species
AGAGUUUGAUCCUGGCUCAGAACGUACGCUGGCGGCACGCCUAAUACAUGCAAGUCGAACGAAGUAGCAAUACUUAGUGGCAGACGGGUGAGUAACAUGUAGGUAUCUACCCUUUGGUCUGGAAUAACACGAGGAAACUUGUGCUAAUACCGGAUAAGUCUUUACGGAGAAAGCUUUAUGCACCAUUGGAUGAGCCUGCACUUGAUUAGUUUGUUGGUGGGGUAAUGGCCUACCAAGACAAUGAUCAAUAGCUGAUUUGAGAGGAUGAUCAGCCACAUUGGGACUGAGACACGGCCCAAACUCCUACGGGAGGCAGCAGUAGGGAAUCUUGCACAAUGGAGGAAACUCUGAUGCAGCGAUGCCGCGUGAGUGAAGAAGGCCUUUGGGUUGUAAAGCUCUUUCGUCGGGGAAGAAAAUGACUGUACCCGAAUAAGAAGGUCCGGCUAACUUCGUGCCAGCAGCCGCGGUAAUACGAAGGGACCUAGCGUAGUUCGGAAUUACUGGGCUUAAAGAGUUCGUAGGUGGUUAAAAAAGUUGGUGGUGAAAUCCCAGAGCUUAACUCUGGAACUGCCAUCAAAACUUUUUAGCUAGAGUAUGAUAGAGGAAAGCAGAAUUUCUAGUGUAGAGGUGAAAUUCGUAGAUAUUAGAAAGAAUACCGAUUGCGAAGGCAGCUUUCUGGAUCAUUACUGACACUGAGGAACGAAAGCAUGGGUAGCGAAGAGGAUUAGAUACCCUCGUAGUCCAUGCCGUAAACGAUGUGUGUUAGACGUUGGAAAUUUAUUUUCAGUGUCGCAGCGAAAGCGAUAAACACACCGCCUGGGGAGUACGACCGCAAGGUUAAAACUCAAAUGAAUUGACGGGGACCCGCACAAGUAGUGGAGCAUGUGGUUUAAUUCGAAGAUACGCGCAGAACCUUACCAACACUUGACAUGUUCGUCGCGACUCUAAGAGAUUAGAGUUUUCGGUUCGGCCGGACGAAACACAGGUGCUGCAUGGCUGUCGUCAGCUCGUGUCGUGAGAUGUUGGGUUAAGUCCCGCAACGAGCGCAACCCUUACUUUUAGUUGCCAUCAUUUAGUUGGGCACUCUGAAAGAACUGCCAGUGAUAAGCUGGAGGAAGGUGGGGAUGACGUCAAGUCCUCAUGGCCCUUAUGUGUUGGGCUACACACGUGCUACAAUGGUAUCUACAACAGGAAGCAAGAUGGCAACAUUAAGCAAAUCCCAAAAAGAUACCUCAGUUCGGAUUGCACUCUGCAACUCGAGUGCAUGAAGCUGGAAUUACUAGUAAUCGUGGAUCAGCGUGCCACGGUGAAUACGUUCCCGGGUCUUGUACACACCGCCCGUCACACCAUGGGAGUUGGUUCUACCUUAAGGCAAAGUUUAAAACCUUUGACCACGGUAUAGUCAGCGACUGGGGUGAAGUCGUAACAAGGUAACC